rnacentral:rRNA from 1 species
UACGAAGGGGGCUAGCGUUGUUCGGAAUUACUGGGCGUAAAGCGCGCGCAGGCGGCUAUCCAAGUCAGUGGUGAAAGCCCGGAGCUCAACUCCGGAACUGCCAUUGAAACUGUUUAGCUUGAGGAUGAGAGAGGUGAGUGGAAUUCCCAGUGUAGAGGUGAAAUUCGUAGAUAUUGGGAAGAACACCGGUGGCGAAGGCGGCUCACUGGCUCGUAACUGACGCUCAGGCGCGACAGCGUGGGGAUCAAACAGG